rnacentral:lncRNA from 1 species
GGACGGAAAAGGACACUGCAGCGGGUAUGAGCUGGGAGGCCCACACAGCAUCAGGCCAAGGCAGUGGGGCUGAGGACCAAAAGGAGAAGACGGGGUGGAGAAAGAUGACCGCCAGUAAGAGGCAAUCACAGAAGUCUGCACUUGUCCUGGGUGGCACUUCUAAGUGUGAUAUCACACCAAGGGAGGAAUGGUGAAGCCUGCUGAGGAAGCCGACCAGCCUUAGUAAGAUGGCGGCUCCCAAGGCAGCACGUCAGCCUAAGGUGAGCAAAAGGCUGAGGAGCAUUUUCUUCUAAGAAGAGCGCUAGAAACAUCUUGGGAUAUCAGGCUUGGCAGAAUUUUGGUAGAGCUUUUCUUUCC